rnacentral:lncRNA from 1 species
GUGCGAAGAGUGCUUGGAGUCAAAAAGGGCGCUGAUAGGGGUGGCUAAACUCUCAGGCAGAAGAAGGACGCCAACUCUCCGACGAAGUGAAGCCCUUGGAAGGAAGGAGGGGGCUUAAAUAAGCGACGGGGCCUGGUGCAGUUAUGGUGGCAGAUAUCCCUAGGUCAACCAGUGCCCGCCACAUGUCCCACUCACCGCGGCAUAGGGCUGAUCGUUGGCGGGACCAUUAUGGUGUGGCGCUUGGGACUACGCCCUGGUGGGAAUUUCGAAAGGACCCUUCAGAUCGCCCCGAUUGGAAAAAGACUCUGGCACGAGUGCAUUAAAUACCAAAAUAUCUGAUGGCGAUUGUGCACCAGAUUCAAGGGGACAACUUUGGCUGUGAAAUUUCUUUGUACUUCCUCCAUUCGAAACUCGAACUUGGAAGUAGGGAGACUAGUGUUGGGUAUAAAAUACCCCUCAGCCGAAGUUCAUGACGGAAAUGACCCUCCGGGGAUUCUACCGACUUCCGACCUUCGGCAGCAUCUCUCCGAACUUCUCUGGCGACCGAGCCCCCGCAACACUCCUAAGUUUUGCCAACGGAUAAACCCCCACC